rnacentral:ncRNA from 1 species
CAAAUGGCAAUGACCGGGAUUAGUAGAGGUUUAUUAUGUUUUCAGAGAGCCGGAGGUUGGUGCGAUUCGGUAAAUGGUAAACUUUGAACUCACCUGUGAGCUGCAGCCCGAUAAGGUAGGGUGUGCCGGAGUUCCACCGUUACAGGGAUAGAUGGUGUUAGCCGUCGAAAAAGAGGGUUCUUAACUGAACCAAUUAGAGUGGUACCACGAGUUUACCCCGUCUCUAUA